AUUGAAUUAUAAUAUAUCCACAAAUCAACCGUAAUAGGAUGAUAACUCACUUAAAUUUCUGACCUAUCAGCUUAGUUGUUAGUGUAUUGGACUAACAAAGCAGAAACGGGUGACGGGGGAUUAGGGUCCGAUUCCUGAGAGGGAGCCUGAGAAACGGCUACCACUUCCAAGGAAGGCAGCAGGCACGUAAAUUACCCAAUCCUGACUUAGGGAGGUAGUGACAAGAAAUAACAAUACGAAGCCUUUACAGGUUUUGUAAUUGGAAUGCGUACAAUGUAAAUACAUUAACAAGAACCAAUUGGAGGGCAAGUCUGGUGCCAGCAGCCGCGGUAACACCAGCUCCAAGAGCAUAUGCUAACAUUGCUGCAGUUUAAAGGCUCGUAGUCGAAAUAUUGGUUUCCGUUGCGAAUUCGGCGGUCUACGACUGUCCGACUCUUUGCGUGGAUUCUUUUAUCUGGCCUACUUAACAUCUCUUGAGUGAGUUUGUUAUGAAUCCAGAUCAUUUACUGUGAGCAAAACAAAGUGCUUAAAGCAGGUCUUUGCCUGAAUGCACUAGCAUGGGAUAAUUUUAGAGGACUUUGUGACUUCUUUAAUUCUUCUUCACAAAGUAAUGAUUGACAGAAUUAGAUGGGGGUGCUAGUAUUCAACGGUCAGCGGUGAAAUGUACAGACCCGUUGAAGACUUCCCAGAGCGAAAGCAUUCACCAGGAAUAAUUUCUUUGAUCAAGAACGAAAGUUGGGGGAUCGAAGACGAUCAGAUACCGUCGUAGUCUCAACCAUAAACUAUGCCAACUCGAAUUUGGUAGUUGUGGAUCUGCUCUAUCAGGAUCGUCUAGAGAAAUCAAAGUAUCUAGGCUCUGGGGGGAGUAUGGUCACAAGGCUGAAACUUAAAGGAAUUGACGGAAGGGCACUACCAGGAGUGGAACUUGCGGCUUAAUUUGACCCAACACGGGAAAUCUUAUCAGGUCCGGACAUUUUAAGGAUUGACAGGUUGAAGAUCUUUCUUAAUUUUAUGCAUGGUGGUGCAUGGCCGUUCUUAGUUGGUGGAGUGAUUUGUCUGGUUAAUUCCGUUAACGGACGAGAUCUUAGCUUGAUAUUUAGCAGGAACAAAUUCUUUUGUUUCGCGCUUCUUAUAGGGACCAUCUGAUAUUAUCACCUGGAAGUUUAAGGCAAUAACAGGUCUGUGAUGCCCUUAGAUGUUCUGGGCCGCACGCGAGUUACAAUGACUGUCGCAGCGAGAAUCGGUUAUGAAAUUGUAACUGAGGAUCAGACAAAAACAGGCGUACUUGAACUUGCUAAUUGUAAUUAUUUGUCAUAAACGAGGAAUUCCUAGUAUCUGUUUGGUCAUGAACCAGCAUAGAUUAUGUCCCUGCCCUUUGUACACACCGCCCGUCGCUCCUAUCGAUAG
rnacentral:rRNA from 1 species